CAUACUUUAUACACAGAGAUAUGAAAUAUUGUUCUAUAUGUGUCAUAAGAAUUGUGAUGCAUUCCGCUGUCAUGUAUUUUAAAAACAGAAGCAACUAAAAAGAAAAAGAAAAAAAGAUCUCUGGCCUUAGAGGUCUCACUACCUGCUAAGGAGAUGAUGUAACUGACUGAUGUGGUUGCUGGAACAUUACUUUUUGAACUGACCCCAAAUAUACUUCUAUGCAACUUUUAUCAUUGGAACUAGUUCUUCCUUCUGGAGCCACUCAACUAAGUUUUGAUACUUGACAGGACUUAAAAUGUGAAAAGCACCUGUCAUGACCACUUUAAGGCUUCUCAUUAUCAGGCUGACCAGCACGGGGUCCUACUGUAACACGUGUCAUGUUCUCUGCCAUUCUGGUGGCCCUUUUCUGGGCCUGAUACGCCUCUGAAACACAGAAGUCAGAAAUUCAACACUCAGAGCCUACUAUGUUUUUUAAUGUGUUUUCUUAAUUUAUGGGAAUUAUGACUUACAAAUCAACAAGGAAGCAUGGGAAUGUUUCCUUUGAAAUUAAUCACAGAUCUUUAGGGUGCUCAAGAAGUACGUUUGAGAGCUGAUUUCCAAUGACUUCUUACAGGGUACAGCCACCAGUCUGCAGUUAUUAGCUGAAACUGUAUGGAGGAGGGGGAGGAGGAGGAGGAGGAGGUCUAUUUCUUGGUGGAGAGAGGCAGUCAGUUCAUGAACUAUUAAAUGUGAUGGGCAGAUAAAGAUAUUUACAACGUUCUGUGAUGAAGUUCUCUUUGAAUUUAUUAACUUUCAGUGUUACCUUGUUUAGACACAUAUUGUAUCAUAUUUCUUAUCUCCCUCCUUCAAAUCAUGCUCCCUUUAUAUGGACCAAAAAAAAAAAGUCUUGUCUUUUUUUUUAAUGUUAAGCUGAUAUUAUGCAACCUUCAAGAUUUCAUUCCUUGGUUCUAGUUUGACUCUUUGCUCGAGUAAGUAAGUCUAAUUCUUAUCCCAUAGGUAUCCUUCAAAUAUUUGAAGGGAACUCUUAGAUCUCCCCCAGAUCUUAACUUCUUUAGCCUAAACUUCUCCAGUAACUUCAUUUGUAUUUCAAAUGAUAUGUUUUCACGUUCCGUAAACCAUUUUCUCUCUCCUUACUCAGUGAGUUCCAGGUUCACUCUAUAAUGUCUUAGGUGGUAGUCUGACCACUUAGAGAACUGUCCCGAGGUUCUGAGACAGUGCUGGCUUGAAUGAAGCCUUUUGGAACCCUCCUCACCCGCUGGCUCCUACUGUGCCUACUAUCCCAAAGCUCCACGUUGUUUUCCCUCAGGUACUCCUGGCCAAAACUCUAAGGGGGGACAUGCAGGGACGCGGGGUAGUAGGGAUGUGAGGGUUUGAAAGUUGAAUAUUUUAUAUUCUGGAUUAUCUCCUACCAGGUGUUAACUUAUUGUAUGAAUUAAGUCGCACCAUUUCUAUAUUUGACAUUCUCUGUAAUGAAAGAUGAAAUUCUUUAUUUCCCAAAUACAUACCAGUUGUCUAAAAUUCAGAGGAGUGGAUUCUAAUCUGAAGUACACAUUGGAAUCUUCUGGAGAACAAUUUUGUGCCUGCCCCUCCCAGAUUUACUGAAUAAGUAUCACCAUGGAUGAGAUCAAAGCAUGCCUAAGCUGGGGAAAUACCCAGGUGAUUCUAAGAGCCAUCCUCAAAUACGGCAGCGGUCUCUGAGAAUGCUUCCACGUUUCCCUUCACCUUCACCAAGCCAGAGAGUAUGCGGUUGGGCAGAUCGUCAUUCACCGUUGGAUGCUGGCUCAGAGCUCUGUGAGUGGCCAUGAAGAGAAGGAGAAAUGAGAGGGACCGAGAGCGGGAAAGAGGGGAGAGAGAAAUAAACCCUCUUUUCAGGGCUCAAGGCUGAACGGCUGGACCCUGCAAGUCACUGAAGGGGAAGGUAUUGGAGAAGUGAAGGAUAAGAGUUUUUCGGAGGAGUGCAUAUGUGGUUGUUCAUGUGAUAGUAAUGCUCCGUGGUGUCACAAGGCCACAGGACAGUCAUUCCUGUCCACAUAUCAAUCAGUCUGACAAAACUUGACUAUUAAUGUCCUGACCCAUUUCUAAUUCCAAAGAGGUAGACUUAGACUUUCAUUUUCCAAACUGUGGAAUAAAUUACACAUGUACAGCAAGUUAGAGUUCAAAUUACAUUUCCAUGCAUUCAGUUAUUUGGCGGUCACAUAACUCUAUGAAGGGUAGGUGUCAUUAUCCAGGUUGUAUAGGUGAAGAAACUGAGGUCUAGAGAGUUAAGUGACUUGACCAAUGUUCUACAGCCUAGGAUUUUAGAAUUUCUGUAAAAAUAGUUUUCUAUACUCUCUUGGGAUACUUUGGACCUAGAGACAGCAUGGAAUAAGGGUAUCAAAAUAAAUAAGUCAGGUUUCCAGUAUCUUGGGUCUGUAAAAACAAGUCUUGAUUCCUGAACCUUGGGUCAGCAGGCUCCGAGACCCCUCUCCCCACGUCUUCCUGGCCUAGCCUCAGGAGUGUCACGUGUCUUACGACUACACCCGACUACACCCGAGCUGUGGAAGUCAAUUUGCUUGGAUCCGAACCUUCAGGAAGACAGUGUUCUGCAUUCCAGCCUCAUGGCUUCAUCUUUCUCUCUAACUUACUGCUUUUCACUAGCGCGCCACCAUCCACACAGUUGCCUAAGCCACAGAACUGUCUACUGUCUGCUCACCAAGCCUGUUUUCUUCCUCCCUUAAAAAAGAAGUCUGCCUAGAAUAGUUUUGUCUACUAACUGUCUCACCUGAACAACACAGUUGUCUUUAGGGCUCCCCCAUCUCCCCUCUAUACCAUUUGCCUUAGAAUAAGAAGGGCAAAUAAACAUGAUUUUAGGAUCCUUGAUUUAGAAAAGAAAAAAAAAGGUAUAAAGAAUAUUGUUGGGUCAGGUGCAGUGACACAUGCCUGGUCAUUCUAAAAUAGAUUUAUUAUAGACUUAUGAUUACAUCACUCGCUUGCUUAAAUUUAACACGUCAUUCACUUGAAUGGAUUUGCUGUCUUCAUUCCAAACUUUUUUGUUUUUCCCCUGCCAGGGCUGAGGGCCGAACUCAGGGCCUCGUGCAUUCUAGGCAAGCACUCUGCCACCGAGCUAAAUCCUCAGCCCCCUAUACUUUUUAUUUAGCAGAGCAUACAAAAGGUUUCAUGCCUGAUAGACCUAGAGAUGUAUUCAACUACUCUUCUAGCUUUGCCAUAUAGUCUAGCUAUACCAGGCUAUGUGCAGGUCUCGGGGCGUAAUGUGCCUUUUGCUAUUCUAACAUAUUACAAUUAGAAUGCUACAUGCUGACCCAAUUUGCCUACCUUUUAUUAUUCAAUAAAACCUCAAUUUGUUUUGCAACUACAAAACAUAUUCAUGCUUAAAUAAUUGAAUGAAAAGUUGUUGGGGAACACUGUGUCCAGGUACCAUCCCACUAAUUAAUUUCAAGGGGAAAACUAUCUUUGUACUGGAGAAACCUGGUACAUGCCACUUUUUACACACAAUCUUACACCAUUAAUAUGAAAUAAACUGGCAUCAUGUGGGUCCUGAUGGGAUUCUCCAAGAAGAUAACAUCCCUUAAUGUAGUAUAUAUGCCAGGAUACAAUGCAACUCAAAAUUUAGAGAUAGUCUACAAAAACCAUGCCUUAGAAAGAAGAAAGAGGAGGAGGAAGAGGAAAUAGGAAGAGGAGAGGAGGAAGAAGAAAGGAGGAAGAAGAGGAGAAGGAGAAUAAAAGUCCAUGUUUAAAAAAAAUGAAUGGCCAGGCAUGGUGGUGCAUGUCUACAAUCCCAGUGACUCUAGAGGCUGAGGCAGAAGGGCCACAAGUUAGAGGACGGCCUCUAACUUGCCGAGACCUGUCUCAAAAUAAAAACAUUAAAAGAAUUAGGGAUGUAGCUGAAUAGUAAAGCACUCCUGGGUUCGAUUUCUAGUAUGCAAAAAAAGGGAAUAGAGAAUUAGUAUUUCAGAUUAAAAAAGACAUGACAACUAAUGAAAUGAUGUGAUUAACAUUUUUUACAAUAGAAAAAAAACUUAUUAUAAAGAAGACCAUUAGGUUGGUUGCAGUGAUGUACACCUGUAAUCCCUUGGGAGGCUGAGACAGGAGGAUUUCAAGAUCUAGGCCAGCCUCAGCAAUUUAGCAAGGCCCUAGGCAACUUAGUGAGACCCUGUAUCAAAAUAAAAAAUAAAAAGGGCUGGGAAAAACUCAGUGAUAAAGUGACCCUGGGUUCAAUACCCAGUAUCAAAAUUAAAAAAGAAAAUAUUAUUGGGAUAUCUGUAGAAAUUUGAAUGUGCCAACAUUUUAGAAAAUUAUUUUAUCAAUGUUAAAUUUCCCAAAUGUGAUCAUUGUAUUAUGGCACGUAGGGGAAUACCCUUUUUCUUGGGUAUGUUUUAAUGAUUUUUACUUACUUUCAGAAAAAAGAUAUGUCCUUAAGUAUGUGUAUAUGCUACAUAUUGUUUGGAUCUAUCUUCCAUGAGGAAGGAGAUAAAAAGAAAAUAUAGCAAACUCUAUGACAGGUGAAUCUAGGUAAAAGAUAUGACUUUUCUGAAGACGUGAACAUUUUCAAAAACACAAGGCUGGAGAGAGAAGUCACGCAGAGUCAGUACCCAGGAGGCUUUCACACGCCCCCCUCUGCAUGAGAGCCCACCCUCUGCUCCACUGCAUCUGUGCAUCUCUCUGUCAUGUUCCCUUGUCUGUCUUCUCAUUUGUAUACUAACGUAAGACCUUUUCUGAAGUCUUCCAUCUGUUACUCAUGUUGAUCUUGGGCAAAUGACUUAGUUUCUCUAAGUUUUGAUUUUUUAUGUCUAUAAAAUGGAUAUAAAAAUGGCAUCAACCCAUAGGGCCGUUUGGAGGAUUAAAUGAGAUUAUACACACACACACACACACACACACACACUCAUUACUGUGCUUAACUUUAAAAUGUCUUUGAAAAAGGCAAGGUAUUAUUUUUAUUAUUAUGUCUUUCUCUCUGUAUUUCAUGCCCAACAUAAUGCCUUGCUCACAACAAACAGGUGCCCCAUGUUUGUUGACUGACUGAAUGAGGCACUGCCCCCUACUACCUUUUUAUUGUUGUUGGGCACCAUAUAAAAAAAACUGAUACCCCACAGAAUAAGGAAAUGGCUAAUGCCAAUGAGAAUGAGUCACACAAACUUUAGACCAGCAGGUCUUGGUCUUCUGUGGUUGAUAAGGUAAAGCGGCAUUUCAGAUUCCCUGGUUUCCUUAAUGUCUGGGUGGAGGUAGCUGUCAGCCUGAGUGAACAGUCCUUGGGCCUUGGCUUUACCACCCCAUUCCCAUCUGAGCACAUACCUGUGUUUAGGCUUCAGGCCAAACAUUUCAUGAUCAAAUCUUUGAUUCAGACGUUUUUCCAAAUAUGCAUUGGUCAAUGCUUGACCGCAUAUCUUUGAUAAACGAUGCUGAAGUCGAGAAAGGUGUGCCACAUCAAAAGGAUAUCCACGGUCCGCUACGCGAUUCAGGAUCCACGCGCCUCUCCUGGUGCUGAGGAACACCUAAGGCGUGGGAAACAUGGUUUCCUGUUGUCAUUCUGGCUCACACUCGGAAGCACGCUCACUUUCUUCACCAUUAAGUUCAUACUCACUAGUGUGGCGCUUUAGUUCUGUACAAUCUUUUUAAAUUUCCCUUCCCCAACGCCGUCCUAGAACAUGCCCUGCUGCUGUCCAGCCCUGCACUUCUGUUCACAGCCAAUGCGCCCAUUCGUGUGCAAGAUCCAGAUCAAGUCCGCGUCCUCCAUGAGAACCACACAGGAAACACUGACCUUUCAGGAUUUUACAGUGAAGACAGUUUCUUCAAAGCUCAAAAUCUAUGAUACAGAAACCAAAACAAACAAAACAAAAAACCAAGGAGACAGAACUUGAUUUGGAGUGACUCUCCUUCUGUGCUACCUAACUGCAGGCAACAGCUGGCACAAGCUGUCACAUAAGCUACUACACAGACACUCUUUAUGCUGAUGUCGACAUUGUUUUUGGAAAGAUUUAGAUUGUUUCUUUUUUUCCCAUUUGGGGGGCAAAAAGGAAAUUCACCCACCAUCCUGUUAAUGAAAAGUUUUCAACGGCCACAGUGUGCUGUCCACAUGUGUAUCUGAACACAUUUCUCCUGGCCAGUGGACGGUCCACACUGUCACUGCUGCACUCUCACAACCUCUUCCAGCAAUACUCGGCUUCCUCAAAGCCAGGGAAAGGCCAACUGGGAUUGUGGGUGCACCCUGAAGCCGU